AUAUAAUUAAAUUAUAAGAAUUAUAUUUACUCCUUUUAUAAUUUAUAUCUAUAAUAUAAUAUAAUAUAAAAU
rnacentral:tRNA from 1 species